UUCGCCCUUAGAGUUUGAUCCUGGCUCAGGAUGAACGCUGGCGGCGUGCUUAACACAUGCAAGUCGAACGGACUCAUAUUGAAACCUAGUGAUUUAUGAGUUAGUGGCGGACGGGUGAGUAACGCGUGGAAAACCUGCCGUAUACCGGGGGAUAACACUUAGAAAUAGGUGCUAAUACCGCAUAAGCGCACAGCUUCGCAUGAAGCAGUGUGAAAAACUCCGGUGGUAUAUGAUGGUUCCGCGUCUGAUUAGCUAGUUGGCGGGGUAACGGCCCACCAAGGCAGCGAUCAGUAGCCGGCCUGAGAGGGUGAACGGCCACAUUGGGACUGAGACACGGCCCAAACUCCUACGGGAGGCAGCAGUGGGGAAUAUUGCACAAUGGGGGAAACCCUGAUGCAGCGACGCCGCGUGAGUGAAGAAGUAUUUCGGUAUGUAAAGCUCUAUCAGCAGGGAAGAAAAUGACGGUACCUGACUAAGAAGCCCCGGCUAACUACGUGCCAGCAGCCGCGGUAAUACGUAGGGGGCAAGCGUUAUCCGGAUUUACUGGGUGUAAAGGGAGCGUAGACGGCAGCGCAAGUCUGGAGUGAAAUGCCGGGGCCCAACCCCGGAACUGCUUUGGAAACUGUGCAGCUUGAGUGCGGGAGAGGUAAGUGGAAUUCCUAGUGUAGCGGUGAAAUGCGUAGAUAUUAGGAGGAACACCAGUGGCGAAGGCGGCUUACUGGACCGUAACUGACGUUGAGGCUCGAAAGCGUGGGGAGCAAACAGGAUUAGAUACCCUGGUAGUCCACGCUGUAAACGAUCAAUACUAGGUGUGCGGGGACUGACCCCCUGCGUGCCGGAGUUAACACAAUAAGUAUUGCACCUGGGGAGUACGAUCGCAAGGUUGAAACUCAAAGGAAUUGACGGGGGCCCGCACAAGCGGUGGAUUAUGUGGUUUAAUUCGAAGCAACGCGAAGAACCUUACCAGGGCUUGACAUCCUACUAACGAAGUAGAGAUACAUUAGGUGCCCUUCGGGGAAAGUAGAGACAGGUGGUGCAUGGUUGUCGUCAGCUCGUGUCGUGAGAUGUUGGGUUAAGUCCCGCAACGAGCGCAACCCUUAUUGUUAGUUGCUACGCAAGAGCACUCUAGCGAGACUGCCGUUGACAAAACGGAGGAAGGUGGGGACGACGUCAAAUCAUCAUGCCCCUUAUGUCCUGGGCUACACACGUAAUACAAUGGCGGCCAACAGAGGGAUGCAAAGCUGUGAAGUGGAGCGAACCCCUAAAAGCCGUCCCAGUUCAGAUUGCAGUCUGCAACUCGACUGCAUGAAGUCGGAAUCGCUAGUAAUCGCGGAUCAGCAUGCCGCGGUGAAUACGUACCCGGGCCUUGCACUCACCGCCCGUCA
rnacentral:rRNA from 1 species